rnacentral:rRNA from 1 species
UACGUAGGGGCAAGCGUUGUCCGGAAUCAUUGGGCGUAAAGCGCGUGUAGGCGGCUUGGUAAGUCCGUUCUGAAAGCCCGGGCUCAACCCCGGGAGGCGGAUGGAUACUGCUGAGCUCGAGUCCGGAAGAGGCGAGUGGAAUUCCUGGUGUAGCGGUGAAAUGCGCAGAUAUCAGGAGGAACACCAAUGGCGAAGGCAGCUCGCUGGGACGGUACUGACGCUGAGACGCGAAGCGUGGGAGCAACAGG